ACCGUAAUAGCUCACUUGGGAGAGCGUUAGACUAAAAAUCUAAAGGUACCUGGUUCAAUCCUUAGUAUCGGUG
rnacentral:tRNA from 1 species